rnacentral:lncRNA from 1 species
UCAUUACUUAACAGGAGCAAGCAUUUUACUCUUUAAACACUAAACAAGCCUUUAAAGCAUCCUGGGACAGAUUCAACUAGUUAUAUUUAGCAAUCACAUUAUCCUCAGGUUUUUCAAUCUAUACACAUCACAAUACACAACUCAUCUUAUCAUCUGCUCAUCAUCAAGAAGGUUUUAAGAAUCGUUUACCACAAGGAACCAGAUUGGUUCCUUAACCUUUCAUGAAACCGGCCAUGCUUUGUUGGACUUGAGACUGUGGAUCGUCACCCACCUCCUUCACCUUCAGUUCAUGGCCUCCAUCUUGUACCAUCAGCUUCAAAGACCCCUCCUUUCUUCAUCUCCACUAGGCGCCAAGCUCUUGACACCAUCUUCUUUGGAACCGGAUGUGUUCUUCUCUUGGACAAGGCGCCUUGGUACAAGGAUAGCUAGGCCUUGUCCAUACACCUCUGCUUCCAAGGAGAAUCACCAUCAGGACAGGAAGAGAACAGGAUGAGGAACCAUGAGAACUCGCCAAGCUUCAGUCUUCUUCUUCAUAAUGAGCUGAACCGGAUGGAGAGAGCUUCAAUGGUUUGGAUUUGAGCUGAGGAGAGAGCAGUGUGUUUGCGGAAGCUUCAGCUCAGGUUCUGAUGAACCUGGCUCUGAUACCAUAUGAGAUUUGAGAGCUCUGGCUGUGUAUGUGUAUGAGAAGCCAUUAAAGGCAAAGAAUAAGGUCUUGAACUAGUUGAAUAAGAGGUCUGAUGAAACUAGUAUGAACUUGAAUCAGAAACAAAGAGACUUAGAGAGAUUAAGAGAUUAGAGACUAAGAAAGGGGUAGAUUAAGGGAAUCUGAUCAAGAACACACUUUUAUAUUUAUGAAGGAGAAGGGGAAAACCCCCAUACUCUCUUAAGAGAGUUACAAACGCCCAUGAGGUCUUUAUAUAGGUUUUACACUCUUGCAAACUCAUAAACCUAUAUCUAAUGGAUAGAAAUAACUUAAGAGGAAUGGAUGGUGAGGAUGAGUUGGUCUUGUUGUGAUCUGAGUGAUGUGUGCUGAUUGGAUGAGCUAAGCUGGCUCACUUUAAUUCAAACAAGGCUGUGCUGUGAUUGGCUCUCCUUAGGCUCCUUUGUAUCUGUCUACAGAUCAGUCUAGGUGCAUGGUCGUGGCUGGCUUCCUCUUUACAGCAACAGCCAGCCUGUCCAUGCCCCAAAGUAACCAAUCAGCUCCACACAGCAUCUUCUUGAUUCCCUUUGACUAGAUUCAAACCUUGGUCCUUUACAGCAAUAGCCAGCCUGUCCAUGCCCCAAAGUAACCAAUCAGCUCCACACAGCAUCUUCUUGAUUCCCUUUGACUAGAUUCAAACCUUGGUGCCUCACAUCCUGAAUAGUGAUCCAAAUAGUGAAUAGUCAACCUGAAUAGUGACUAGUGAUUCACUAUUCACUUUUACACCAACUUGCCCAACCUUCUCCAAUCUUACUGUGGUAACUCUCCAAAGUUACUGUGGUAACUUUGGAGUUACUGUCUGACCCAAAUCUUCUCUAAAUGGUGUCUAAGUCCCUCCUGGACUUAACCCUAUCUUUGCACACUCAUCAGACCACUUCUAAAGCCUUAAGACUCUCCCAAAGCCUUAACAUACAAUCUCUGAAGAUCUUGCCGUGUCUUUGCACAAGCACCAACUCAACUCAUCACUUUUGCUUCUCCACUUCUUCUCUUCAAGUUAACACCAUGUCCUUCCCGGGCCGUACCAUCCGUACAUGGCCGUACAUGGCUGUCCCUAUCUUUGCACCAUCUACCUUUCUCUCCUUAACUCAUCCAAAGACUACUCCACUUCUGUCUGAACUCUUCUUAGCCAUUGUCCCAACCUUAUAUCAGCUUCUCAUCACUUCUGAAGCUUCAUAGAACUCUUCUUAAGAUCUUCAAGAGCUUGCCCCUAUUUAUGCACAAGCUCCAUUCUUCUCUUCAGUUCAACAUUGAGAGUCUUCGGAUGCUUGUGUUAUGUGCUGAUUCCGGGAGAGCUGCGCAACAAGCUUGAAGCUAGAAGCACCAAAGCCAUGUUUAUUGGUUAUUCAACAACUCAAAAGGGGUAUAGAUGUUAUGAUCCGGUUACAAGGAGGGUUUUGACUUCUAGAGAUGUGAAGUUCAUUGAAUCACGAGGAUACUAUGAUGAGAAGAAUCAGGAAGACUUGAAGGACAUUACAUCAGACAAGGCUGGUGUGCUGCGAAUUAUCUUGGAGAACCUAGGUAUUAAGGUGUCUCAAGACCAAAAUAGUGGAGGGAGCUGUCCGGGAACAUCUCCACCAUCUAUGGAAACCACAGAACAACCCCACCUUCAUCAUGAGGGGGGAGAAGAAACAGGAGCUCAAGAAAGCUCAAGUGAUAGAAGAGGAGAGGAUUUGGCGUCACAUGAUCAAGGUGGUGUAGAAACAACACAAGAUGGUGUGGAGACCGAAUCAGUACCAAUGGGAGAGUCAUCAGGUGAUGAGACUCAAGAAGAAUUGAGAGAGCCGACACCUCCACAACAACAACUAAGAAGAAGUACAAGGCUGAGGAAGGAUCCUUCCUCUUGGGUAAACACGAGAGUGUACUACAAUGCCCAAGCUGUGGAGCAUACUUCUCAAGCUGUAUGUUCAUUUGCUCAAAACCCUGAAGAACAUUGUGCUUUUAUGGUAAACUUGGAUGAGAACUACAUUCCA